AGGAUGAACGCUAGCUACAGGCUUAACACAUGCAAGUCGAGGGGAAACGACAUCGAAAGCUUGCUUUUGAUGGGCGUCGACCGGCGCACGGGUGAGUAACGCGUAUCCAACCUGCCCACCACUUGGGGAUAACCUUGCGAAAGUAAGACUAAUACCCAAUGAUAUCUCUAGAAGACAUCUGAAAGAGAAAAGAUUUAUCGGUGAUGGAUGGGGAUGCGUCUGAUUAGCUUGUUGGCGGGGUAACGGCCCACCAAGGCAACGAUCAGUAGGGGUUCUGAGAGGAAGGUCCCCCACAUUGGAACUGAGACACGGUCCAAACUCCUACGGGAGGCAGCAGUGAGGAAUAUUGGUCAAUGGGCGAGAGCCUGAACCAGCCAAGUAGCGUGCAGGAUGACGGCCCUAUGGGUUGUAAACUGCUUUUAUAAGGGAAUAAAGUGAGUCUCGUGAGACUUUUUGCAUGUACCUUAUGAAUAAGGACCGGCUAAUUCCGUGCCAGCAGCCGCGGUAAUACGGAAGGUCCGGGCGUUAUCCGGAUUUAUUGGGUUUAAAGGGAGCGUAGGCCGGAGAUUAAGCGUGUUGUGAAAUGUAGACGCUCAACGUCUGCACUGCAGCGCGAACUGGUUUCCUUGAGUACGCACAAAGUGGGCGGAAUUCGUGGUGUAGCGGUGAAAUGCUUAGAUAUCACGAAGAACUCCGAUUGCGAAGGCAGCUCACUGGAGCGCAACUGACGCUGAAGCUCGAAAGUGCGGGUAUCGAACAGGAUUAGAUACCCUGGUAGUCCGCACGGUAAACGAUGGAUGCCCGCUGUUGGUCUGAAUAGGUCAGCGGCCAAGCGAAAGCAUUAAGCAUCCCACCUGGGGAGUACGCCGGCAACGGUGAAACUCAAAGGAAUUGACGGAAGG
rnacentral:rRNA from 1 species